GGUUUGUGGCUCAGUGGUAGAGCACUUGCCUCGCAUGUACAAGACCCUGGGUUCGAUCCUCAGCACCA
rnacentral:tRNA from 1 species